UACGUAGGGUGCGAGCGUUGUCCGGAAUUAUUGGGCGUAAAGAGCUCGUAGGCGGUGUGUCACGUCGAUCGUGAAAACUUACAGCUUAACCCCGGGCGUGCAGUGGAUACGGGCUGGCUGGAGGCAGGCAGGGGAGAAUGGAAUUCCCGGUGUAGCGGUGAAAUGCGCAGAUAUCGGGAGGAACACCGGUGGCGAAGGCGGUUCUCUGGGCCUGUUCUUGACGCUGAGGCGCGAAAGCUAGGGGAGCAAACGGG
rnacentral:rRNA from 1 species